UGGGACCUGAUCCUAGACCCAGUUCUGUUCCUCUGAGACUGUUUGUGAAUAUGGGACCUGAUCCUAGAUUAUGUUACUCUGAGACUUGCUUGUCAAUAUGUGUACAGCUCUUUAGUAUCACAACUCCUCACAACCUUUUUUAAAAUGUUUUAUUGAUAGUUCACCUGAAAUGAUAUUUUGAUUUCCUUCCAGUCUUGGGACCAAGUAAGAUGGUAAUCCUUUAAUCUUUAUGUUUGUUUUACCUGGACACUAAAUAAUACAUCUUGUUGUUGUUGUCCAACACCUUGCAAGUCAAUGUCCUCCCUCAUGUCCUGGGUGAACUAUCAACCUUUUACCCGGGUGGGGAUUGGCUUUUAUAGACGGGGCUCAUCUGGAAGGUUUCUUACCCGGGUGGGGAUUGGCUUUUAUAGACGGGGCUCAUCUGGAAGGGGAUUGGCUUUUAUAGACGGGGCUCAUCUGGAAGGUUUCUUACCCGGAUGGGGAUUGGCUUUUAUAGACGGGGCUCAUCUGGAAGGGGAUUGGCUUUUAUAGACGGGGCUAAUCUGGAAGGGGAUUGGCUUUUAUAGACGGGGCUAAUCUGGAAGGGGAUUGGCUUUUAUAGACGGGGCUAAUCUGGAAGGGGAUUGGCUUUUAUAGACGGGGCUAAUCUGGAAGGGGAUUGGCUUUUAUAGACGGGGCUAAUCUGGAAGGGGAUUGGCUUUUAUAGACGGGGCUAAUCUGGAAGGGGAUUGGCUUUUAUAGACGGGGCUAAUCUGGAAGGGGAUUGGCUUUUAUAGACGGGGCUAAUCUGGAAGGUUUCUUACCCGGGUGGGGAUUGGCUUUUAUAGACGGGGCUCAUCUGGAAGGUUUCUUACCCGGGUGGGGAUUGGCUUUUAUAGACGGGGCUAAUCUGGAAGGUUUCUUACCCGGGUGGGGAUUGGCUUUUAUAGACGGGGCUAAUCUGGAAGGGGAUUGGCUUUUAUAGACGGGGCUAAUCUGGAAGGUUUCUUACAGAAGAAACAUGGGAUGCAUAAACAUAGUAGAAUAAUUUUUUUAAAGAACCGUUUGGGGAUUAUGGGGACAAUUUGGAGAUUAUGGUGACUGUUUGGAGAUUAUGGCAACAGUUUGGAGAUUAUGGGAACAGUUUGGAGAUUAU